AGCUGUUUAGUUUAAAUUAAAAUUUUUAUUUGUGGUAUAAAAGAUUUUAUGGCUA
rnacentral:tRNA from 1 species